rnacentral:rRNA from 1 species
GACGAACGCUGGCGGCGUGCCUAACACAUGCAAGUCGAGCGGGGACUGGAGAGUAGCUUGCUACAUUCCAGUUCUAGCAGCGGACGGGUGAGUAACGCGUGAGCAACCUGCCUUACACAGGGGGAUAACGCAGCGAAAGCUGUGCUAAUACCGCAUAAGACCACGAUGUCACAUGACGACGUGGGAAAAGGAGAAAUCCGGUGAAAGAUGGGCUCGCGUCUGAUUAGCUAGUUGGUGGGGUAAUGGCUCACCAAGGCGACGAUCAGUAGCCGACCUGGGAGGGUGAUCGGCCACAUUGGAACUGAGACACGGUCCAAACUCCUACGGGAGGCAGCAGUGGGGAAUAUUGGGCAAUGGGGGAAACCCUGACCCAGCAACGCCGCGUGAGGGUAGAAGGCUUUCGGGUUGUAAACCUCUGUCCUGUGGGACGAAAAAAAUGACGGUACCACAGGAGGAAGCUCCGGCUAACUACGUGCCAGCCGCCGCCGUAA